rnacentral:rRNA from 1 species
AUACGGAGGGUGCAAGCGUUACUCGGAAUCACUGGGCGUAAAGCGCGCGCAGGCGGUCUUUUAAGUUGGAUGUGAAAGCCUACGGCUCAACCGUAGAACUGCAUCCAAAACUAUUAGACUAGAGUGUGGGAGAGGAAGAUGGAAUUAGUUGUGUAGGGGUAAAAUCCGUAGAGAUAACUAGGAAUACCAAAAGCGAAGGCAAUCUUCUGGAACACUACUGACGCUGAGGCGCGAAAGCGUGGGGAGCAAACAGGAUUAGAUACCCUGUAGUCC